rnacentral:misc_RNA from 1 species
CCUGAAUAGAACGGAGUGCUGUAAGCAGUAGAGUAGCCUUGUUGCUACGAUCUGCUGAGGCUCAGCUCUUGUUCUACAGAUUUGUCCUUUUGGACUCUCUAUGAUUGGCAUGGACUGGGGGGCGACCUCAGCAUCUUAAUCAUAGACAGUUUAACAAGACAAGUAGUGAGAGUGUUAGAGAAGAGAUAGAGGCGUAGAUGAAGCAAGAACGAAGUAGUGGGCAGGCUAGAACAGCUUCUUGACUCAAGUUCUGAAAACUACAAGUUGGGAGGAUGGACUGGGGGAGACAAGAGGUCUCUGGCAGGGCGGUUGAAGACUUGGACAGGCUCCCUUGGAAGUGAGCAAGGCCACAGAGGUGCAAGAGGUGGGUGGACAGUGCUGCCUUGGGCUUGAGCCUGAGUGUCAAGUCAAGAGUUGAGAGCUGGCAGGCUUGGGUCUGUACCAGUGAGCAUACUAUGAGUUGCAAAGAUCAAGUAUGAGCACUUGUGAGCCCAAGUUUGCCAGCUGCCGUGUGUGUCCUUCCAGGAGGGACAGGCUUAUAGGGGCUGUUCUGACAUACUGUCAUCUACGGCCAUAGGAUCCAGAAAAUACCGCAUCCCG